rnacentral:snoRNA from 1 species
GGUCUCUGGUGUUUCCACAGGCUGUUAGCUGACUGACUGCACAGAAAANAGGAGACAGAAUAAAUCUACCAUGUAUUUCUUAGCCUAGGCCACUGUGCAUAGUCUGAGUCAUGAAUCUCUGGAAAGACAAGG